ensembl:lncRNA
ACUUAAUCAACUUUUCACAUUUGAAGAAUUAACCACAUGUAUUGACCAUAUCUUGUUGUCAAUUUAUCAGCUUAUACUAUAGUAUCUCGCUGAUGAUACGAAUGCUCUUAAAGGACAACUAUAGAUUUCAUAAAAUGCAUUAUGACAGCUGAGGAAUUAAGCUUUGAGGUUUGUUUGGUACAGUUUCUAUCGAACCCGGAAUUUUGAGAGCGUAAUGCCCAAAUGUUCCUGAAUGCAUCAAUCAAAUCUAACGUCACAUCAACGCAUCUCCGUCAAAUUCCUCUGAAGUCUUGACCGACAACAGAGCAUCCUCCUUAUCUGCAUUGUGUUUGACCAUAACGGCUGGUGACUCUAAAGUGCAAGUUCACACAUCAAUUCAGAUAUUGCUCCUGCCAGUGUUGGUGACUCCUUGGAUAUUUGACAGUGUCCUGCUGUCCAGCAUCUCUCCCCCCUAUCCCUAUCUUUGUAUCCCUCUUCUAUCCCACUCUAUCUGUAUACGGAAGCCUGAAAACCCUGAUAUUCUGAAACCUGAACCCUGAACCCUGAAACCUGAACCUAAGGUUAUUGCAACCUGUCUGAACAGAACUCUGAGAGUAUCUCCACUCUUCCGCUCUCUGUCUCUCCUCUGAACACUCACUCACCCGGGUUAUUGGUACCUGAUCUACCUUUUUGAAUGAUCUGAGAGAUUCUCUUCUCUCACUCUCACCUCUCUCCUAUCAACUCCUAUAUUUAUACAAUACUAUUACUAUUACUGUUACUAAUUUGACAAAACAUUUGAAAUUUACUAUUAAUGAGAUUAACAAAAUUGGCCUGAACAAAGAAUUGAAAAGUUAAUUCAGAAGCUGAAAAAAAGUACAAAUCUUUUGUUAUAAUUGAAAAAACUACACCUUGAUCCAAAGAAUUGGAUUGUAAAAAAAAGUACUGUUUAUAAUUGAAUCAGGUAGAUUUCCUGAUACACUAUUUGCAAAAGUGCAUUGAAUUAACAUAAUUAAAGACAACUGCACUCUGAUACAUAAUAAAAUACAUAACUAUUACAAAUCCAUAUUAGAGAAGUGUAUUUGCUCCUGAUCGCUGUUGCUGUGGACCUCUGUUGGUUUGUACUCAAAGGUUUGUUUUGUGAGCAAACACUGUUGUUAACUUGAUUAGUCUACGUACAAGGAAAAAUAAUCCCGCUACAUGCAUUGAAUCAAUUAUACCUAAUUAAUGAAUACAUAAUUUUUUCUUAUAAACUUACAUUGUGCAUAUCAGUGUUUUGUUGUUUAUACUGAAAUAAAACACAGACGUCAACCAGGAAGAAGUGGAUUCAUCAGGAGUGGCUGUUUCCUGCUGAUCCAACGUUCUUCAGAAGUAUCCAUCUGUCAUCACACUCCCACAACAACUGCUCCUGAAUAUAAACAAUAGCCUAAUAAAGUAUUAAGAUCAUUUCUACCAGUAAAUUUAGCCAUUUGAAAUCUGAAGGGCCCUUUGAGUCAACUGGUUCCAAGUUGUGUGUUUGUGGUAGACUUCAGUUUUUACAUUGAUUAUAUAUUUCCACAGACAAGUCAAGGUCUCAGUAAGCAAUAUCUCUUACAUAU